GACGAACCGUGCGAACGUUGUUCGGAAUCACUGGGCUUAAAGGGCGCGUAGGCGGCGGAUCAAGUCCGGGGUGAAAUCUUUCGGCUCAACCGGAAAAGUGCCUUGGAUACUGGUUCGCUCGAGGGAGGUAGGGGCAUGUGGAACUUCCGGUGGAGCGGUGAAAUGCGUUGAUAUCGGAAGGAACGCCGGUGGCGAAAGCGACAUGCUGGCCCUCUUCUGACGCUGAGGCGCGAAAGCCAGGGGAGCGAACGGG
rnacentral:rRNA from 1 species